CACAUGCCUUUAUAAGGUGAAGCCGCGAAUAGCUCAUUACAACAGCCAAAUUUUACUGGAAUAUAGUUAUCUUACUUGGAUAACUGUGGCAAUUCUAGAGCUAAUACAUGCAAAAAAGCUCUGGCCGCAAGGAACGAGCGCAUUUAUUAGAAUAAAAACCAAUCGGGUUUCGGCCCGUUUAUUGGUGAAUCUGAAUAACUUUGCCAAUCGCACAGUCCUAGUACUGGCGAUGUAUCCUUCAAAUGUCUGCCUUAUCAACUUUCGAUGGUAGGUUAUACGCCUACCAUGGUAUUAACGGGUAACGGAGAAUAAGGGUUCGACUCCGGAGAGGGAGCCUGAGAAACGGCUACCACACCCAAGGAAGGCGGCAGGCGCGCAAAUUACCCACUUUCAGAACGAAGAGGUAGUGACGAAAAAUAACGAGACAGUCCUCUUCGAGGUCUGUCAUCGGAAUGGGUACAAUUUAAAUCCUUUAACGAGGAUCUAUUGGAGGGCAAGUCUGGUGCCAGCAGCCGCGGUAAUUCCAGCUCCAAUAGCGUAUAUUAAAGUUGUUGCGGUUAAAACGCUCGUAGUUGGAUUUGCGGCCUCGGAGAACGGUCCCCCGAAAGGGUGGUCACUGUCUCUCCUAGCCUAAAUUCGAGUCGUCUCUAGGUGCUCUUAACCGGGUGCCUAGAGUGACUAGAACGUUUACUUUGAAAAAAUUAGAGUGCUUAAAGCAGGCGAAAUAGCCUGAAUAAGGUGCAUGGAAUAAUGGAAUAGGACCUCGGUUCUAUUUUGUUGGUUUUCGGAACCCGAGGUAAUGAUUAAGAGGAACAGACGGGGGCAUUCGUAUUCCGGCGCUAGAGGUGAAAUUCUUGGACCGCCGGAAGACGAACAACUGCGAAAGCAUUUGCCAAGAAUG
rnacentral:rRNA from 1 species